UGAGGAGUGCACUUCCCUGAC
rnacentral:misc_RNA from 1 species